AACGAACGCUGGCGGCAGGCCUAACACAUGCAAGUCGAGCGCCCUUUCGGGGGAGCGGCGGACGGGUGAGUAACGCGUGGGAAUAUGCCCUUCUCUACGGAAUAGCCUCGGGAAACUGAGAGUAAUACCGUAUACGCCCUGUGGGGGAAAGAUUUAUCGGGGAAGGAUUAGCCCGCGUUGGAUUAGGUAGUUGGUGGGGUAAUGGCCUACCAAGCCGACGAUCCAUAGCUGGUUUGAGAGGAUGAUCAGCCACACUGGGACUGAGACACGGCCCAGACUCCUACGGGAGGCAGCAGUGGGGAAGCUUAGACAAUGGGGGCAACCCUGAUCUAGCCAUGCCGCGUGAGUGAUGAAGGCCUUAGGGUGGUAAAGCUCUUUCAGCUGGGAAGAUAAUGACGGUACCAGCAGAAGAAGCCCCGGCUAACUCCGU
rnacentral:rRNA from 1 species